ACGGGAGGCAGCAGUCGGGAAUCUUGGUCAAUGGGGGAAACCCUGAACCAGCAACGCCGCGUGAGGGAUGAAGGCCCUCGGGCCGUAAACCUCUGUCGGGAGGGAAGAAAGUAUUCCGGGCCAAUACCCCGGGAUACUGACGGUACCUCCAAAGGAAGCGCCGGCUAACUCCGUGCCAGCAGCCGCGGUAAUACGGAGGGCGCAAGCGUUAUUCGGAAUCAUUGGGCGUAAAGCGCGUGUAGGCGGCUGGGCAAGUCGGAUGUGAAAGCCCGGGGCUCAACCCCGGAAUUGCACUCGAAACUGCCCAGCUAGAGUCUCGGAGAGGAGGGCGGAAUUCCCGGUGUAGAGGUGAAAUUCGUAGAUAUCGGGAGGAACACCAGUGGCGAAGGCGGCCCUCUGGACGAUGACUGACGCUGAGACGCGAAAGCGUGGGGAGCAAACAGGAUUAGAUACCCUGGUAGUCCACGCCGUAAACGUUGGGUGCUAGGUGUCGUGGGUAUUGACCCCUGCGGUGCCGUCGCUAACGCAUUUAGCACCCCGCCUGGGGAGUACGGUCGCAAGACUAAAACUCAAAGGAAUUGACGG
rnacentral:rRNA from 1 species